AAACCAUGUUGAGGACACUAAAGAGUGUAACUGAAUCUCUCCCAAGCUUCACUGAAGCUUUUCAUUAUGCCUUUGAGUAAAACUAGAGACUUCAUUCCUUAGCUU
rfam:Eutrema salsugineum unplaced genomic scaffold scaffold_5, whole genome shotgun sequence.